AUUGAACGCUGGCGGCAGGCUUAACACAUGCAAGUCGAACGAGUGGCGGACGGGUGAGUAAUGUCUGGGAAACUGCCUGAUGGAGGGGGAUAACUACUGGAAACGGUAGCUAAUACCGCAUACCAUCGGAUGUGCCCAGAUGGGAUUAGCUAGUAGGUGGGGUAAAGGCUCACCUAGGCGACGAUCCCUAGCUGGUGUGAGAGGAUGAUCAGCCACACUGGGACUGAGACACGGUCCAGACUCCUACGGGAGGUAGCAGUGGGGAAUUUUGGACAAUGGGGGAAAGCCUGAUGCAGCCAUGCCGCGUGUAUGAAGAAGGCCUUCGGGUUGUAAAGUACUUUCGGCAGAGAAGCGGUACCCGCAGAAUAAGCACCGGCUAACUCCGUGCCAGCAGCCGCGGUAAUAC
rnacentral:rRNA from 1 species